AUUGAACGCUGGCGGCAGGCCUAACACAUGCAAGUCGAGCGGAUGAGGGGAGCUUGCUUCCUGAUUCAGCGGCGGACGGGUGAGUAAUGCCUAGGAAUCUGCCUGGUAGUGGGGGACAACGUUUCGAAAGGAACGCUAAUACCGCAUACGUCCUACGGGAGAAAGUGGGGGAUCUUCGGACCUAGCGCUAACAGAUGAGCCUAGGUCGGAUUAGCUAGUUGGUGGGGUAAUGGCUCACCAAGGCGACGAUCCGUAACUGGUCUGAGAGGAUGAUCAGUCACACUGGAACUGAGACACGGUCCAGACUCCUACGGGAGGCAGCAGUGGGGAAUAUUGGACAAUGGGCGAAAGCCUGAUCCAGCCAUGCCACGUGUGUGAAGAAGGUCUUCGGAUUGUAAAGCACUUUAAGUUGGGAGGAAGGGCAGUAAGUUAAUACCUUGCUGUUUUGACGUUACCAACAGAAUAAGCACCGGCUAACUUCGUGCCAGCCGCCGCCGUAA
rnacentral:rRNA from 1 species